GUGAGGAAUAUUGGUCAAUGGAGGCAACUCUGAACCAGCCAAGUCGCGUGAAGGAUGAAGGUCUUAUGGAUUGUAAACUUCUUUUGCAAGGGAAUAAAGUGGGGGACGUGUCCUCCUUUGCAUGUACCUUGCGAAUAAGGAUCGGCUAACUCCGUGCCAGCAGCCGCGGUAAUACGGAGGAUCCGAGCGUUAUCCGGAUUUAUUGGGUUUAAAGGGUGCGCAGGCGGGAUGUUAAGUCGGCGGUGAAAUUUUGCAGCUCAACUGUAAAAGUGCCUUCGAUACUGGCUUUCUUGAGUGUGGAUGAAGUAGGCGGAAUUUGUGGUGUAGCGGUGAAAUGCUUAGAUAUCACGAGGAACUCCGAUUGCGCAGGCAGCUUACUAAACCACUACUGACGCUCAUGCACGAAGGCGUGGGGAUCAAACAGGAUUAGAUACCCUAGUAGUCC
rnacentral:rRNA from 1 species